GCCCUUGGGGUGUAAGCACAGCAAAAUGCAAAUUUGAAGAAGCACCUAAAGGUGCCGGGGCU
rnacentral:tRNA from 1 species